GCGGGUGUAGCUCAGCGGUAGAGCUACGGCUUCCCAAGCCGUGAGUCGUGGGUUCGAAUCCCAUCACCCGCU
rnacentral:tRNA from 1 species